CCAGAGGCUGAUCCCAGAUGUUUGAUUGACACCCGGGCAGCUCGGAUCCAGAUGUUUGAUUGACACUUUUGUUUGAGAGGCACCUCUGCACGGAGCCGGGGGGCGGGGCCUGCACGGGGAGGCCGUCCUCCUAUUGGCUGAAUCCACAGGAGCCCGAACUCCAGGAACACGCAGCGAUGGAUCGGGCGUGAGAAGACGGAACUGCGCCUGGACAUGAGGACUUCCUCCGAGGAGAAGAGAAGAAGAAGAAGAAGAAGAACCUCGGAGCCACAUGUUGUCUUAUUAGAACCUUUGAGUUUAACAUGAGGACAGUUUGACUUGUUGACGCACGGAUGGACGCGCGCACGGUGCUGGCUGUUCGCUGAAGCCGCCGGUGUCCCCUCUGCUGUCGGAACUUCAAAGCGACCGGUUCGCUACAUUACUUCUCUUUGAUCUUUCCUCGGACGUCCCGCCAGCUGGAGACAUGGCCGAACAUGAGAGCCUGGAGUUCGGGAAGGCGGACUUCGUGCUGCUGGACCACGUGUCCAUGGAGGAGUUCAUGGGGAACCUCAAACUCAGGUUCGAGAAGGGGCGGAUCUACUCGUACAUCGGAGAGGUGGUGGUGUCCGUCAAUCCUUACCGGGCCAUGAACAUCUACGGCCGCGACACCGUGGAGCAGUACAAGGGCCGCGAGCUGUACGAGAGGCCGCCGCACCUCUUCGCCAUCGCCGACGCGGCGUACAAAGCCAUGAAGAGACGGAACAAGGACACGUGUAUCGUCAUCUCAGGGGAAAGUGGAGCCGGAAAGACGGAAGCCAGCAAGUACAUCAUGCAGUACAUCGCUGCCAUCACUAAUCCCAACCAGAGGGCUGAGGUCGAGAGGGUGAAAAACAUGCUGCUCAAAUCCAACUGCGUGCUGGAGGCCUUCGGAAACGCCAAGACCAGCCGCAACGACAACUCCAGCCGCUUCGGCAAGUACAUGGACAUCAACUUUGACUUUAAAGGGGAUCCCAUCGGAGGCCACAUCAACAACUACCUGCUGGAGAAGUCCAGGGUGAUUUUCCAGCAGGCAGGAGAGAGGAGCUUUCACUCCUUCUAUCAGCUGCUCAGAGGAUCUCCAGACUCGUUGCUGCGUUCUCUUCACGUCCAGAAAGACCCGACUGCCUACAACUACAUCAAAGUUGGAGGCCAGAUCAAGUCGAGCAUCAACGACGGCGCUGAUCUCAAAGCCGUGGCCGACGCCAUGAAAGUGAUCGGUUUCACAGGGGACGAGAUUCAGACUGUUUACAAGAUCCUGGCCACCAUCCUGCAUCUGGGAAAUAUGACCUUCGGGGUGGACGGAGACGUGACCUUGAUCGAGAACCCGAAGCUGGUGUCUGUGAUCAGGGAUCUGCUGUCCACCAAGGAGGAGACCGUGGAGAAGGCCCUGCUGUACCGCACCGUGGCCACCGGGCGGGACGUCAUCGAGAAGCAGCACACGGCGCAGGAGGCCGGCUACGGACGGGACGCUCUGGCCAAGGCCAUGUACGAGCGUCUGUUCUGCUGGAUCGUCGGACGCAUCAAUGACGUGAUCGAGGUGAAGAACUACGACGCCAGAGUCCACGGGAAGAACACGGUCAUCGGGGUCCUGGACAUCUACGGCUUCGAGAUUUUCCAGAACAACAGCUUUGAACAGUUCUGCAUCAACUACUGUAACGAGAAGCUGCAGCAGUUGUUCAUCCAGCUGGUGCUGAAGCAGGAACAGGAAGAGUAUCAGAGAGAAGGAAUCCCCUGGAAACAUAUUGAUUACUUCAAUAACCAGAUCAUCGUGGACUUGGUGGAGCAGCAGCACAAAGGCAUCUUCUCCGUCCUGGACGAGGCUUGUAUGAACGUGGGCAAAGUCACAGACGAGGUUUUCCUCCAAGGCCUCAACGGCAAACUCGGCAAACACGCCCACUACACCAGUCGCAAGCUCUCGCCCACCGACAAGAGUCUGGAGUUCGACCGGGACUUCCGUAUCAGACACUACGCUGGAGACGUGAUGUACUCUGUGGUGGGUUUCAUUGACAAGAACAAAGACACACUGUUCCAGGAUUUCAAGAGACUGCUCUACAACAGUUCCAACCCGGUGCUGAAGGGGAUGUGGCCUGAGGGCAAACUGAGCAUCACCGAGGUCACCAAGCGGCCGCUCACCGCCGCCACGCUCUUCAAGAACUCCAUGAUCGCACUGGUGGAGAACCUGGCGUGCAAGGAGCCUUACUACGUCCGCUGCAUCAAGCCCAACGACGUGAAGUCGCCGCUGCUGUUCGAGCAGGAGCGCUGCCGCCACCAGGUGGAGUACCUCGGGCUGCUGGAGAACGUCCGGGUGCGGCGUGCCGGCUUCGCCUACCGACAGACCUACCCUCGCUUCCUGCAGAGAUACAAGAUGAUCUCGGAGUUCACGUGGCCGAACCACGACCUGCCGUCGGACAAAGAGGCGGUGAAGCGGCUCCUUCAGGGCUGCGGGUUCGACCACGACGUCGCCUACGGAAAAACCAAAGUCUUCAUCCGCACGCCGCGCACGCUCUUCAGCCUCGAGGAGCAGAGAACCGAGAUGGUCGGAAGAAUCGUCCUCUUCCUCCAGAAGGUGUGGAGGGGCACCAUCGCCCGGAUGCGUUACCGGCGGAUGCGAGCGGCCCUCGUCAUCCUUCAGGCUUACCGCCGCUACAAAGUCAGGUCCUACAUCCGCGAGGUCAACCGCCGCUUCAAGAACGUCCGGUCCAUGAAGGACUACGGGCGCCACGUCAAGUGGCCGACGCCGCCGAAGGUCCUGCGCAAGUUCGAGGAGGCGCUGAGGAGCAUCUACAGCAGGUGGUGGGCAUGGACUCUGAUCAAAGGCCUUUCUCCAGAGGAGGCCCUGCAGGUGAGGGCAAAGGUCGCCUGUCUGGAGGCGCUGAAGGGAAACAGGAGCGACUCGGGCCUGCAGCGAGCCUGGGAAGGAAACUAUCUGAAGCGCGACAGCCCCGACAGCUCCGCCUCCUUCACGCUCGUCUCCAGCGAGCUGCAGCGGAAAGACAAAUUCAUGAGGGUGCUGUUCUCCUGCAAUGUUCGCAAGAUCAACCGUUUCCACAAGUCUGAGGACAGGACUGUGCUCAUCACUGACCGCCACCUGUACAAGAUGGAUCCGCUGAAGCAGUACAAGCCCAUGAAGAGCAUCCCACUCUACAACGUGACGGGCAUGAGCGUGUCCCCGGGGAAGGACCAGCUGGUUGUCUUCCACACUAAGGACAGCAGGGACCUGGUGGUGUGCCUGCAGGGAAUGGUCCCUGCCAGCGAGAGCCGCAUCGGGGAGCUGGUGGGCAGCCUGCUCAGCCACUUCAAGAGCGAGAAGAGGAAGCUGCAGGUGAACGUGUCCAGUCCCAUCCAGUGCAGCAUGAACGGCAGGAAGUGCACCAUCAUCGUGGAACCCAAGAUCAACCAAUCACAGCCGGACUUCACCAAGAGCCGCUCGGAUUACAUCCUGGCUGUUCCCGGCAACUGAGAUCAGACAGUGACGGCCGAUUCCAAAGCAGGCCCAGAUGAUGAUGAUGAUGAUGAUGAUGAUGAUGAUGAUUCACAUCUUAUUCGCUCCUCAUGUUUUCUGCUGACAGUGCGUGACAGAGGAGAUCGAACCUCAAACAGCAGAGUCGUGUCAAAUCGGACGUGUUUUCUAGAUUUCUAUGCAAUGCCGCGAUGAAAAGGGAGCGUUAGCAUCAUGCUACAUGCUAAAUCUUAUUAGCUAAACAGGUAUAAAACAUAAUAUGCACUGCUCUGUCUCUUUAAAAUCCAAAUUUAAAAUGAUUUGCUUUGUGCAAUAUUGAGUUUAUUGUAGGUUGAUUCUUUUCAGUUGAGGUGAGAGGAGAUUAAUCUGCAACUUGCAUCAUGGGAAUAAAAAUCCAAAAGGUUGAGCAGGAAUGAAAAAUCCCUGCGGCUCCGGAUCAGAAGUGAAACCCCAGAAAAUUAAAUCCAAAGAUAUGAAUGAUUCUUAAACACCUGCUUUAAUUGAGUUGUGGAUUUUAUUCUAAGGAAUAAUAAUGUUAAUUGACUUAACUGAAGACUUAAUGAAUGAACUUAAUGAACCUGAAACCUCCGCUCUUAGUUUGUUAAAUGUUUACAAUCACGUGUGGGGAUAACGAGUGAGAAUCCAACAGCUGGUCAGUGACAGGAUGUGUUGAGCACAUCCGCGACAUCGCAAACCUGCGACGUACAAAGUGCUAAAAUCUGUUAAUUUAAAUCCUGCUUCUUAUAAUCUUUACUGCAAUGUCUUUUUUAAUAUUCCCCACGAAAAAGUGUCUGCACAACUAAUACUGAGUUAUACUGUCCAGGGACAAUAUGAAGAUUAUAACCAAAGCAUGACUUUCUACAGGAGGCUUCAUGAUCUCUAGAGCCUUGUUCUAGACACGGGUUCAGGAUCAGUCCCGUUCGUGUCUCUUGUUGUUUUCGUGAGUGAACAUAGUUCGGGGGGGUUCUCCUGGUGCUUGAACUACAGGUCAGGAACAAGACUCCGGAUCUUCACCCAUUGUCCUGUUAGCUGUCUCCGUGUCCAGUGAAAAGCUCUCGAUGAAUCUUCCUUCAUCAGUGAGAAGUGUGAGUGUGAUCGUGGGAGUGAGCUCCUUCAGUCUGUUCUACUUUACUCUAACGACAGGAGGACUUGUUGUGUGUUUGCUGAACCAUCAGGAGACGUUGUCCUCGUGUCCUCUGGUCGCUGACGUGUCUGCGCUUAAACAAUAUGAUCUUUUUCCAAUCAUCGCAGAAAUAUAUACACUAGCAUAGAUGCUGAGGGGAUGAAGACAUCCGACUUCAAACUGUGAGAGAUUCAUUGAUUCGUCGCCUGCUCAUUCAAACUUUACUCAAAGUGGCCAAAUUCAACACUUCACUUCUUUGGGUCCUUUACAACACACAAGCCAAGUUGUGUAGCUGAUGUGUGGGUUUGAUUUCUAGACGUGUGAGACACCGACAGACAGAUUUGUGGAAUUAGUAGAAAGAUGUUCACACCUGAAAGUGUCUCAGCAACAUUCAUCCACAUGCAGCCUCCGUAGCUUCCUCCCGUCUGACCUCCACGUCGACCUCAAAGGUCAAACGGGUUUAGGGUGCUGAGGAAGGUCAUGUGACCUGAUGGAAAGCUGCAGAACAGAAGCUUCAUGGAUUUAAUGUUGAGAUUAUUUGAGACUUUAAAACCAGGACGUUUCUACCAACUACAGUUUCAAACCAACUGGGCAAACUGCUGAUGAAGCUCAUGGUCGACAGCUCCAGAACGCCACAGUAGUUAUUCCUCUUUCUAGAACUUCCUUAUUGACACUUCACUUGGCUCAGUGGCGAGAUGACCUCGUGCUGUUGGUGGGUGAAGACUCUCUAACGGGAUCAUGGCUGUUUGGGGUAAUUGGUGCGUUGGAUUAAGGGAAGUGACAUCAGGAGCGUUAAUAGAGGGUUUUCCCUGCGGCUCUGGUGCAGUGGCGCUCGGUGCGUGAGGACGCCGCCGCUCUCUGCUGAUCUCCCACAGGGCGCCACUGUUCAGCGCUCGUCAUUAGGAUGGACGCCAUGUCUCUCCUCACUCCAGCGCUUCUCUCUCUUCUCUCGCGGUCGUAAAACGAGGGGGUUGGUGAACAAAGCCUCGCUCGGCCUUCUCUCCUCCUCGACUCCCUCUGCUUUCCUUCUCCUCCCACUCCCUCCCUCCCUCCCUCCUUUUCCACUUCCCUUCCCCUCUCCGAUCCCUCGGCUCCUCGCCCGGCGCCGGCCUGCAGGGCAACGAAGGUUUUCCUGCUUUCUUUGUUUUUCUGCUGUUGUUAUUUUAUACCUCAGCCGUCCUGUGCCCAGGAGGCGUGCAAAUGGAAAAGGAGAAAGCCCGAGCAACCAGACGAGUCCAACAAGAGGAGGAUCAGGCAGAAACAAAAACCAGGGAGGAAAGAAUAAGAUGGAUGAGGCAGAAAUGUGGAUCUAAACCCUGUUGAAAUACAUUUUCUGAUUGUCAACAAAUCACAAAACGACCAAAACCUACAACAUUCUAGUUUGUUUACUCUCCUCUGAAAUGUGUAGAAUCAGGUUUAAUUUAUAUAUAAUAUUGAAUAAUUCUUAAUUCGUCCGCUAAGCCAGUGACCGGAAGUUUCCUCAAGGGAAUUUCUUCUAGUUUGCUCAGUUCAAGUCAAAGAUGAACUUAGAUUGGUGGUUGAAGGUCAAAGGGUGAAGGUCACGGUUCUUGUGAAGAUGACAUAUCAGGAACACCCAACGUGUCAAAGGUCAAGUUCACGAACGUUCACUGAAGACUCUGGAUUAACUGAUUAGUUUUGAGUUGGUCACAGAUCCACGGUGGAGGUCACGGUGGAGGUCGAGGUCACGGUGGAGGUCACGGUGGCUUCACGUGUUUCAGCUUCUGGAACGUUGACACGUCUGGUGAUGAAGUGUCUGCAGCCUGGAGCUCCACUGGCUUCUAGCUCAGUAAAUCAAAGCUGUUUACUAAAGUACCUGUAACUAUCACAGUAACUAGAACAGGAGGUAUUGUAGGAACUAUUUUCUUCAGCGUAUUGAUACAUAUUCAGUGCAAUUUGGUUUUCCUCAUUUAUUAUCAGCUUUAAGUGUGAAAAUCCCUGUGGAUCUAAUCAAAAGAACAUUCCUUCACUCUCACGUGUCCAUGUCGGCCAAAGGGUUAAAAAACUCAAAUCCCAUUUUCCUUUCUGUAAUUUAUUCUGUGGCUUUAAGCAAAAAUCUGUAUAUGUAUUUGCACCGUUCAUUCAGUAUGUGCCUAAAUUUAUGUUAAGUUUAUAUUUUGAAUAUUUGUGUAAUAUUUCACUACUACGUCCCAUAACUAUACUGUAAUAUCCAGACCAAGUCUAAAGGGAACAGUUGUAAUAUUAUUUUGUAUAAAUGCAGAUCAUGCAUUCCACGAUGAUCCGUCAAGAAAAAUAUUUCAUUAAUCAUUUUAUCAAUAAAUUGAUUUGCCUCACA